rnacentral:rRNA from 1 species
GGUAUGUGCAGAAGAAGCACCGGCCAACUACGUGCCAGCAGCCGCGGUAAUACGUAGGGUGCGAGCGUUGUCCGGAAUUACUGGGCGUAAAGAGCUCGUAGGUGGUUUGUCGCGUUGUUCGUGAAAACUCACAGCUUAACUGUGGGCGUGCGGGCGAUACGGGCAGACUGGAGUACUGCAGGGGAGACUGGAAUUCCUGGUGUAGCGGUGGAAUGCGCAGAUAUCAGGAGGAACACCGGUGGCGAAGGCGGGUCUCUGGGCAGUAACUGACGCUGAGGAGCGAAAGCGUGGGGAGCGAACAGGAUUAGAUACCCUGGUAGUCCACGCCGUAAACGGUGGGUACUAGGUGUGGGUUUCCUUCCUUGGGAUCCGUGCCGUAGCUAACGCAUUAAGUACCCCGCCUGGGGAGUACGGCCGCAAGGCUAAAACUCAAAGGAAUUGACGGGGGCCCGCACAAGCGGCGGAGCAUGUGGAUUAAUUCGAUGCAACGCGAAGAACCUUACCUGGGUUUGACAUGCACAGGACGCUGGUAGAGAUAUCAGUUCC